AGUUAUGGUGACUCAGGCGGGGCAGCCUUUGGGCUGGCCGGUACCAUUCAGGCCGGUUUCUCACCCCCGUUUGGGUUGCCACCUUG
rnacentral:antisense_RNA from 1 species